CAAAAUCAAAACUAUGAACAACGGAUCUCUAGGCUCUUGCAUCGAUGAAGAACGCAGCGAAACGCGAUAGGUAUUGUGAAUUGCAGAAUUCCGUGAAUCAUCGAAUCUUUGAACGCACAUUGCGCCUUCCGGUAUUCCGGGAGGCAUGCCUGUCUGAGCGUCAGUAUAACCUCUCAUCUUUAACAAGGGUGUUUCUCUUUCGAGUUGCGCCUUUGUGAAAACGAUGGUCUUGAGCUUUGAGAGUCAUGUGCCAUUUCUACGUUAGUAGUUAAGGUAACUUUAGACUGUCUGGCUUGAAAUUCAUUGGUGCCGAAUGUAGGCCUCGUAAGUGUUAUAGGUAUAUCCAACUCGCUGUCGAGUCUUGCAUAUUUCGGAUCCAUUAAACUGAUGUCAAAUGUAUUUACUUGUUACUCUAGGGUACAGUAAAUCUUUGAAUCAAUUGAACUCUUUGACCUCAGAUCAGGUAGGGAUACCCGCUGAACUUAA
rnacentral:rRNA from 1 species